UAAUACUGGAUAGGCAAUUAUUCCUGUAAUGGUUUUUUGUUUAAAUGUUUUUUCGCCUAAGGAUGGGUCUGCGGCCGAUUAGGUAGUUGGUUAGGUAAUGGCUUACCAAGCCUUUGAUCGGUACGGGUUGUGAGAGCAAGAGCCCGGAGAUGGAACCUGAGACAAGGUUCCAGGCCCUACGGGGUGCAGCAGGCGCGAAACCUCCGCAAUGUGAGAGAUCGCGACGGGGGGAUCCCAAGUGCCAUUCUUAACGGGAUGGCUUUUCUUUAGUGUAAAAAGCUUUUGGAAUAAGAGCUGGGCAAGACCGGUGCCAGCCGCCGCGGUAACACCGGCAGCUCUAGUGGUAGCAAUUUUUAUUGGGCCUAAAGCGUCCGUAGCCGGUUUAAUAAGUCUCUGGUGAAAUCCUGUAGCUUAACUGUGGGAAUUGCUGGAGAUACUAUUAGACUUGAGACCGGGAGAGGUUAGAGGUACUCCCAGGGCAGAGGUGAAAUUCUGUAAUCCUGGGAGGACCGCCUGUUGCGAAGGCGUCUAACUGGAACGGUUCUGACGGUGAGGGACGAAAGUUAGGGGCGCGAACCGGAUUAGAUACCCGGGUAGUCCUAACUGUAAACGAUGCGGACUUGGUGUUG
rnacentral:rRNA from 1 species